rnacentral:rRNA from 1 species
GAAAAGAACUAACAAGGAUUCCCUCAGUAACGGCGAGUGAACAGGGAAGAGCCCAGCACCGAAGCCUGUGGCCAUUUGGUCAUUAGCAUGUGGUGUUCAGGUCAAUCCGCAGAGGCACUGCUCCACUCUAAGUCCAGCAAUGAGUACGGUAGUAUGGACAUGGCCCAUGGAGGGUGAAAGGCCCGUAAGGGUGGAGUUUCGGCAGGCCAGUGCCUCUCUGGAUCGACCUUGGAGUCGGGUUGUUUGGGAAUGCAGCCCAAAGUGGGUGGUAAACUCCAUCCAAGGCUAAAUACAAGCACGAGUCCGAUAGCGAACAAGUACCGUGAGGGAAAGUUGAAAAGUACUUUGAAGAGAGAGUAAACAGUGCGUGAAACCGCUCAGAGGUAAACGGGUGGAGUUGAACUGCAGGCUCUGUGAAUUCAGCUGGUGAGGAUGGCUUGGCUGGUCAAAUGAGUUGGACGCUGAGGUAUGCUUAGCUGCAUGUUCCGGCCUUUCGGUUGGGAUGCGCGUUGCGCUUAUCACGCGCUGCGCGCCUUGGUUGUUCCUCCGGCCCCCUUGCCGGUGCAUUUUCUCAGAGUGAUCACCACGACCGGCGCUGCUGUCGGACUGUUCUGGUUAAACCGGCCAUGCCUUGUCCUUGUGGCAUUGCUUGGUCGGGACGGCAGGUAGCUCGUCGGCUCGCGUUAGCUUGCCUUCGGGUGUAAUCAGCUGACCAAAAUGGGGUUGUGCAGUGCGUCGGAGACGGUGGCUUGUGGUGUGUGCGUACGUGCCUAAUCCUCCGGAGUUUCCUGGUUUGGUUUCUAUGUUGCCUGUUCUGGCAGGCCUAGUGAUGGCUGGGAUUCUUUCGGUAGGUGGCUACGUGUGUGGCACUAUUCCAAGGGCCAAUAGUCUGUGGUGUUGUGGUAGACUAUCCACCUGACCCGUCUUGAAACACGGACCAAGGARAGUAACAUGUGCGCGAGUCAUUGGGCGUAACGAAACCCACAGGCGCARUGAAAGUGAAGGUCUGGCUUGUCCAGGCAGAGGUGAGAUCCUGUCGUUUCUCACGCGUGGUAUCACCAAGCAUCGAGCGACAGGCGCAUCACCGGCCCGUCCCAUGGCGUAGACAUGGUCUUCGGACUCGUGCACCGCCGGGGCGGAGCAUGAGCGUACAUGUUGAGACCCGAAAGAUGGUGAACUAUGCUUGCGCAGGUUGAAGCCAGAGGAAACUCUGGUGGAGGACCGCAGCGAUUCUGACGUGCAAAUCGAUCGUCAAACGUGAGUAUAGGGGCGAAAGACUAUCG